rnacentral:rRNA from 1 species
AGCGAGUCUGCCUUGAAGAUCGGAGUGCUUGCACUCUGUGAAACAAGAUACAGGCUAGCGGCGGACGGGUGAGUAACACGUGGGUAACCUGCCCAAGAGAUCGGGAUAACACCUGGAAACAGAUGCUAAUACCGGAUAACAACAGAUGAUGCCUAUCAACUGUCUAAAAGAUGGUUCUGCUAUCACUCUUGGAUGGACCUGCGGUGCAUUAGCUAGUUGGUAGGGUAACGGCCUACCAAGGCGAUGAUGCAUAGCCGAGUUGAGAGACUGAUCGGCCACAUUGGGACUGAGACACGGCCCAAACUCCUACGGGAGGCAGCAGUAGGGAAUCUUCCACAAUGGACGCAAGUCUGAUGGAGCAACGCCGCGUGAGUGAAGAAGGGUUUCGGCUCGUAAAGCUCUGUUGUUGGUGAAGAAGGACAGGGGUAGUAACUGACCUUUGUUUGACGGUAAUCAAUUAGAAAGUCACGGCUAACUACGUGCCAGCAGCCGCGGUAAUACGUAGGUGGCAAGCGUUGUCCGGAUUUAUUGGGCGUAAAGCGAGUGCAGGCGGCUCGAUAAGUCUGAUGUGAAAGCCUUCGGCUCAACCGGAGAAUUGCAUCAGAAACUGUCGAGCUUGAGUACAGAAGAGGAGAGUGGAACUCCAUGUGUAGCGGUGAAAUGCGUAGAUAUAUGGAAGAACACCGGUGGCGAAGGCGGCUCUCUGGUCUGUUACUGACGCUGAGGCUCGAAAGCAUGGGUAGCGAACAGGAUUAGAUACCCUGGUAGUCCAUGCCGUANACGAUGAGUGCUAAGUGUUGGGAGGUUUCCGCCUCUCAGUGCUGCAGCUAACGCAUUA